rnacentral:rRNA from 1 species
GCGACGACGGGUAGCCGGCCUGAGAGGGCGACCGGCCACACUGGGACUGAGACACGGCCCAGACUCCUACGGGAGGCAGCAGUGGGGAAUAUUGCACAAUGGGCGAAAGCCUGAUGCAGCGACGCCGCGUGAGGGAUGACGGCCUUCGGGUUGUAAACCUCUUUCAGCAGGGAAGAAGCGAAAGUGACGGUACCUGCAGAAGAAGCGCCGGCUAACUACGUGCCAGCAGCCGCGGUAAUACGUAGGGCGCAAGCGUUGUCCGGAAUUAUUGGGCGUAAAGAGCUCGUAGGCGGCUUGUCACGUCGGUUGUGAAAGCCCGGGGCUUAACCCCGGGUCUGCAGUCGAUACGGGCAGGCUAGAGUUCGGUAGGGGAGAUCGGAAUUCCUGGUGUAGCGGUGAAAUGCGCAGAUAUCAGGAGGAACACCGGUGGCGAAGGCGGAUCUCUGGGCCGAUACUGACGCUGAGGAGCGAAAGCGUGGGGAGCGAACAGGAUUAGAUACCCUGGUAGUCCACGCCGUAAACGGUGGGCACUAGGUGUGGGCAACAUUCCACGUUGUCCGUGCCGCAGCUAACGCAUUAAGUGCCCCG